CCCGGGGGCGGUCGCGCGCGGUAUUCCGGGAGGCACGCGCCGGGUCGCGCGCGCCGACUAUUCAAACGCGGAACAGUUUGCCUCGAAUAACGUCGACAACGCUUACCUUCAGUCGGCGGCUAGUUUGUGUCCGAAGUGCUGAAUCUCAUUGCGGGGCUGAGAGGAGGAGAAGAGGAGGGAAGAAUACAUGGCGAGUCCAAGCUGCAGAUUAUGAACCGUUUUUGGUGUCUUGACGCGCAGUGUCUCAGGGGAGUCGACGGCAGCUGUGGACGGCACAAGCUCAGCUUUUCUCCGAUAGUUCGAGAAAGACCACUACAAAUGAGCGAUAUUUUGCACUGUUAUACAAUUUAAUAAAUGAGAAACUGAU